rnacentral:rRNA from 1 species
UAAGGAAUAUUGGACAAUGGGCGCAAGCCUGAUCCAGCCAUGCCGCGUGAAGGAUGAAGGCCCUAUGGGUCGUAAACUUCUUUUAUACGGGACAAAACCCCCCGACGUGUCGGGGGUUGAUGGUACUGUAAGAAUAAGGGUCGGCUAACUUCGUGCCAGCAGCCGCGGUAAUACGAAGGACCCAAGCGUUAUCCGGAUUUAUUGGGUUUAAAGGGUGCGUAGGCGGAUUUGUAAGUCAGUGGUGAAAGCCCGUCGCUUAACGGCGGAACUGCCAUUGAUACUGCAAGUCUUGAGUAUGGUUGAGGUGGGCGGAAUGUGUCAUGUAGCGGUGAAAUGCUUAGAUAUGACACAGAACACCGAUUGCGAAGGCAGCUCGCUAAGCCAUAACUGACGCUGAGGCACGAAAGCGUGGGGAGCAAACAGG